UACGUAGGUGACAAGCGUUGUCCGGAUUUACUGGGCGUAAAGAGCGCGCAGGCGGUCGAUCAAGUCGAGUGUGAAAGCCCCCGGCUCAACUGGGGAGGGUCAUUCGAUACUGAUCGACUCGAAGGCAGGAGAGGGUAGUGGAAUUCCCGGUGUAGUGGUGAAAUGCGUAGAUAUCGGGAGGAACACCAGUGGCGAAAGCGGCGACCUGGACAGGUACUGACACUCAACUGCGAAAGCGUGGGGAGCAAACAGG
rnacentral:rRNA from 1 species